ACACUGGCUGUUGUCAGCGGCCUCUGAGGUUUCAGGCUCUUGGCGGUGAAGGUCAGAGUGCAGACCUGAGACCACUGCUCACCGACUUCAGACUCCAGUUUAUCUGUGCCCCAGCUUCCUCACUUAGUCUCAGAAGACUUAGGCUGAGGCCUCAGAAGGAGGUGAGUUCCCUGGGUCACAGGCAGAGAUCUGGUGCUAUAGUGAUGGCCUCAACUGGGGCGUGUUUGUCUCUGAAUCCCUUGGUCCUGCGGCCUUGGACACAAGAGAGGUACGCUGAGCUGAGGCGAGUUGGAGGAGAAGCCUCAGCCCAGAGCCCAGACCCAGAUCCUCAGGGCAGAGAAAGGAGGCUCACAGGAUAGCAGGUCCUAGAAGAGCUGGACCCAUAGUGGCCUUUGUCCCUCACUUCAGCUGAGACAAAGCAAAGCUGGCUCAACUUCCAGAUGCCAUCGAGGACCGUGUGACAGUGCAGUUUGAUUCCUGCUGGAGGAGGGACAGGUGAAAGUCACAGGUGGAUGGAGG
rnacentral:lncRNA from 1 species